rnacentral:lncRNA from 1 species
GAGAGAUGGGCAGCAAGAAGUCUAUAGGUGUAUUUUCAGAGAAUUAGCCAUGAUUUUUGUGACUUACAAAGUUGUAUGAAAGGAUGGCACUGAGGGAGAUGGGAAGUUUGAAGGUAUGACUGGACAGUAAAGCUGGAUGAUCCUGGGCAAGUCACUUUCAGUUUCUUCAUCUGUGAAAUGAGCUGGAAAAGGACAUGGCAAACUGUUCCAGAAUCAUUAUGAAGAAAUCAUCAAAAGAGGAACAUAUAGACAAGAUGGAUCUACUUUUGCCGAUUCCAAGUGGAAUGACCCAAAAGGAGACACACAAACUCUCAUCAUCAGUCUGGAGAGGUCGAAGGCUGAGUAUAUCAAAAG